UGCAGUCGAGCGAAUGGAUUAAGAGCUUGCUCUUAUGAAGUUAGCGGCGGACGGGUGAGUAACACGUGGGUAACCUGCCCAUAAGACUGGGAUAACUCCGGGAAACCGGGGCUAAUACCGGAUAACAUUUUGAACCGCAUGGUUCGAAAUUGAAAGGCGGCUUCGGCUGUCACUUAUGGAUGGACCCGCGUCGCAUUAGCUAGUUGGUGAGGUAACGGCUCACCAAGGCAACGAUGCGUACCCGACCUGAGAGGGUGAUCGGCCACACUGGGACUGAGACACGGCCCAGACUCCUACGGGAGGCAGCAGUAGGGAAUCUUCCGCAAUGGACGAAAGUCUGACGGAGCAACGCCGCGUGAGUGAUGAAGGCUUUCGGGUCGUAAAACUCUGUUGUUAGGGAAGAACAAGUGCUAGUUGAAUAAGCUGGCACCUUGACGGUACCUAACCAGAAAGCCACGGCUAACUACGUGCCAGCAGCCGCGGUAAUACGUAGGUGGCAAGCGUUAUCCGGAAUUAUUGGGCGUAAAGCGCGCGCAGGUGGUUUCUUAAGUCUGAUGUGAAAGCCCACGGCUCAACCGUGGAGGGUCAUUGGAAACUGGGAGACUUGAGUGCAGAAGAGGAAAGUGAAUUCCAUGUGUAGCGGUGAAAUGCGUAGAGAUAUGGAGGAACACCAGUGGCGAAGGCGACUUUCUGGUCUGUAACUGACACUGAGCGCGAAAGCGUGGGGAGCAAACAGGAUUAGAUACCCUG
rnacentral:rRNA from 1 species